GUCCCCGGCCAGAGGAAGACAACAUUUUGUCAGACUUCCAACAGAACAUUCAAUUUGAUAUUUAUAAGUGCGAACACGAACCGUCUCUCUUGAUGGUAUUUCUUUACUCUUCUUGAAGGAGAAGUCGAUUUUUUUUAUGUAUUGAUGUUAAACACCCAGUGGCAAAUAUUACAUAUAUUAUCUGAACAAAACGUAAUAAAGUUUUGUGAAUAUAUGCUGGACGUAUUCAAUGUGCCAG
rnacentral:lncRNA from 1 species